CCACCAACCGGUCAUACUCUUUCUCCUCUAUCUCUCCAUUUCGACCACCACCACCAGCUGAAGAGAGAAACCGGAGCUGCCGUCGCCGUGUCUUCUUCCACCAUCACCCUCCACUGAAAUCCUUCCCCACUCAUGCACGCCCACACCCUCUCUAAACUUUCCUCUGUCGGCCACCGUGUCAACCCAACAAUUUCUUUUUCCCCAUCGCUGAUUUCAUUGAUUCCUCGCUCGCUGCCACAUCCACCUUCCCUCCAGCGUUCGGACGCCAGUGAAGCCCCCACAAACUGAGUCAAUCUUCUUGCGUUGGAGUCCCCGUGUUGACCUGCCAGCUGCCUUUCAUUCUUCUUUCGGUUUGUGCGUUGUCCAUCACUGAAGCAGCUGCCACGAUCGUCUGCUCCAUCUUCGUGUCCUCUCCAGCCUUCUCACGCUACCAGCGUUUUCGGUCCCCUCAGCCAGCGAAUCCAGCAGCGUGUGACAUCGGCCCAGCCCAGUUUUCUGCCACCGUUUGAAGCCAGCGAGAUCUGCAAGAGGUGAUCAGCCCAGCAGCAGUAAGCCGGACCAAUCUAGCAGCUCUUCAGUUGGCAAUUCUUGCUGCUUCUCGUAUGACCUGAAGCUGCAGCCCAACGAGCCUGUAGGAUUGAUCCAUAUGAGGCCCAUCUUCAGCAAUAUCAGCCCAUGUUCAAUUGAAUUGAAGCCCUCAAGAGCAGUCCAGCCCAUCUCGAGCCCAACAAGCCAGCCCAUCUUCUGCAGGCCCAACCCAGCUUGGGUCCAGCCCAAAAGCGAGAACAAAUCUCAGUUGGGCUGAGAUUUGUUGGGCCCAAGUUUAAGGCUUGGUCCAAGCGCGCCGGUGUCGUCGAAAGCCCGAUUUCGACCGCCGUUGCGGUGUCCCGGUCUCCGCUUUUAAUCAAGCCCCUAGAUGAGCCUGUGAAGAAGGAACCAGAAGAGGACGAUGAGCCGAUAAAAGAUGAAGAGCUUGAAGGAUAUGAGCUUAGUGAAAUAGAGUCAGAAAAGGAUCAGGAUGAUCCUGAGUACGACCCGGAUGAAGACUUAGAUCCCAUCAUCUUUUGUGACUCAUGUCUAAGUGUGAAUAGUGUGACUAGAAUGUUAUGAGUAGUCUUGUGAAUAGACUUUGAGUUAUGACAUGUAUAAAGGUUUGGUUGUAGAUUUCAAUAUGAAAAAUAUGGCAUUGCUUUUCUA